rnacentral:rRNA from 1 species
UACGUAGGGUGCAAGCGUUGUCCGGAAUUAUUGGGCGUAAAGAGCUUGUAGGCGGUUUGUCGCGUCUGCUGUGAAAUUUCGGGGCUCAACCCCGAACUUGCAGUGGGUACGGGCAGACUAGAGUGUGGUAGGGGGAGACUGGAAUUCCUGGUGUAGCGGUGAAAUUCGUAGAUAUCAAGUGGAACACCAGUGGCGAAGGCGGCCUUCUGGACAGUGACUGACGCUGAGACGCGAAAGCGUGGGGAGCAAACAGG